AACCAGAAUAUUAAAUAUUUUCAGAUGAAAACUUGAAUGUUUUGAAAAAGCAACAAAAAUUGAAACAAAAAUGUUCCCAACACAGGCAGUCGUAGUAGCUGACUACUUCCUGUUGUCUGUCCUAUGUUUGGUUUCCUUGAUUUGUAUUGUUGUUGCCGUUACAGCUUCUCUUCAUUGCAGGACAGCUUCCAGGCCAUAUCCUUCAUAUACAGCCGAGGCAUCACUUCUGGAUUCUACAUCUGCUAUUGAGGAGGGAGACGGUAUAGAGGAGUACGUUUAGUUACUUCAAGUAGUUGCCUUCACUCCCUCUUAGUGGAGGGGGGUGUAGGUUUAGGCCUAGCUA